rnacentral:rRNA from 1 species
AGGACGAACGCUGGCGGCGUGCUUAACACAUGCAAGUCGAACGAGGCGCUUGCGCCUAGUGGCGAACGGGUGAGUAACACGUGAGCAACCUGCCCUUGGCUCUGGGAUAGCCUCCGGAAACGGGGAUUAAUACCGGACACGACCUUCUCCUGCAUGGGGGAGGGUGGAAAGUUUUUCGGCCAGGGAGGGGCUCGCGGCCUAUCAGCUUGUUGGGGGGGUAACGGCCCACCAAGGCGACGACGGGUAGCCGGCCUGAGAGGGCGACCGGCCACACUGGGACUGAGACAUGGCCCAGACUCCUACGGGAGGCAGCAGUGGGGAAUAUUGCACAAUGGGGGAAACCCUGAUGCAGCGACGCCGCGUGCGGGAUGAAGGCCUUCGGGUGUAACCGCUUUCAGCAGGGGCGAAUUCAGACGGUACCUGCAGAAGAGCGCCGGCUAACUACGCGCCAGCAGCCGC